AACAAUGCAACCAUACUAUCUAUUUAUGAUAAUUUGAUUGCUGACAACAUCACGCUUCUCUUUCUUAUUCUUAUUUAUAUAACUGUCACUUUACCGGGCCAGAAAAGUGACACCGUCACGUCUCAGGGUCGUAUGCCUGGAACAAGAAGGGUCGUCGUACAAUUUCGGCGAUUACAAAAAAGGAGGCGAGCUCCCCCUCUUUGUCUUUGCACUUCCCUCGUUCAGGAACAAACACUUCUCCAAAUUAUUUUGAGUCCCGGCCCAGUUUUUCCCCACUAA
rnacentral:rRNA from 1 species